rnacentral:lncRNA from 10 species
ACUGCGCAUGCUCCCCAGCUGGGCCGGCUGCGGACGCGGGAAGGGAGGUGGUGGCGACUGACGGAACUGGGUGAAGAUGGAGUCUCUGUCACCCAGGCUGGAGUGCAAUGGCGCAAUCUCGGCUCCCUGCAACUUCUGCCUCCCGGAUUCAAGCAAUUCUCCCGCCUCAGCCUCGCAAGUAGCUGGGAUUACAGGCACACACCACCAUGCCUGGCUAGUUUUUGUAUUUUUGUAGAGACAGGGUUUCGCUGUGUUGGCCAGGCUGGUCUUGAACUCUUGACCUCAGGUGAUCUGCCCACCUCGGCCUCCCAAAGUGCUGGGAUUCCAGGAGUGAGCCACUGCUCGUGGCCUGUAUUUUUUAUGGAAACAGAAAAGCCCAUCCUAAAGUUUACAGAAAAUCUCUCUCUCUCUCUCUGUCACUCUCUCUCUUUUUAUAAGACAUGGUGUCACUAUGUUGCCCAGGCUGGACUUGAACUCCUUGGCUCAAAUAAUCAUCUCACCUCAGCCUACUGAAUAGCUGGGAUUACAGAAGCUGUUGUGAGUUAUCCUG